ACUUCUCAAAAGCCAAAAGUCCUUUUAGGGGCAAAUUCCCUAUAACCCCUCCACAACAACCCUCAUCUGCCGCCAACAUCUUCAUUCAUCCUCCAACUACCCAACAAUUAAGGUUACCAGCUUUCUCUCCUCCUUUCUCUUCUGUACGUAUCUCUUAACAAUUAAAGUCACCAUGUACUUAUCUUUCCAUCUUCAUUCAUCCUCCAAUUAAUGCUUCCAUAAAAUUCUCAAUAUUUGAAACUUGGUUGGAUUUUCCUCUUCCUGAUGUUGAUGAGGAUGAUGAAGAUUUUGAACUAUCUGAUGCACAACAAGAGUAUGCUCUGACUGUCGAAAGUUUGGCACCAAGAUUGGCUGCUCUUAGGAUUGAACUUUGCCCGGGUUAUAUCAGUGAAAGUUCUUUCUGGAAGAUAUAUUUUGUACUUUUGCAUCCGAGACUUGAACCUCAUGCUGCUGCACUUCUUUCGAGACCCGAGGUAAUAGAUCCAGAAUGCGUUGGUUAAAAUUGCCUAAAAUCAAUUAGACAUACUUGUUGUUGUUGCUUGUGCUGCUGCUUGUUGCUGUUGUUGCUCGUUGCUGUCGGAGCCAUACCGGAUAUAUCCAACCCUUACAACUUCUCUUCAGAAGGAAGUAGAAGUGGAGAAUCCAGAAGCAGAGGCCAUGACAGAGAGAGAAGAAGCAGCAAAUAAGCACUGGCAGGUCCUCAACACGAGGCCGCUGAUCUUGUCUGGACUAACAAACAAAGAUUUCAUCUUUGUGGAUGGGUGAAAAUGGAUAUUGAUUGAUAAUUGUGAAAAUUAAUUUGGGGUGUUUAGAACAUUCCCCUAAUUGUAGACCCCCAAUGUGUCGCCAUCUUCCUAAAGAAUAUGCAAAGCAAUUAUGUCACCAACUUUACACAAAGUUUUUCAAGACAUGCUUUUAAAAACUUGUAAAUUAAACAUUUUGGAGUUCGAAAUUGAGCAAAUUGAGAUCUGGAUGUUGUUGAUCAGAUGGAUUGAGUGAAAAUUGAAGUGGUUAGAGGAGAACUGUGAUUGAAUUUGUGGUUAAACAGGAUGACUGUAGUGGAAGGUGAAUGGAGAAUGCCAGAAUGGAGUGAGAUUGACGAUGAUGAAAAGGGACUAUCCGAGCAACAAGUGAGCAAACCACAAAGAGCAAACACGCUAUUUUGAAAAGGUGGAGACUAAAGGUGAAAAACUGACAAACCACAGGUACUAUCCGGGCAAUUAACUCUAUGGAAUGUAAGAAAAUACUUAUUUGUCAUCUGUUAAACUAUAUAAUUCUUAUGAGCUAUAACAUAUUUAGCUUAUGUGAUUUUAACGUUGAAAGUUAAAAGUCUCUAGUGUUGGAUUCCGUGCAUGUUUAAAACAUAAAUCUUUUUUAUGCACGGAAAGACACAUGUGUGUACGAAACGUGCAUUUAAAUUUUCACAAAUGCAACCGUUUAAGAAAAAAGUUGCAGUUUUUAGAAUAAUUUGCAAUCUUUAAAUAAAAAAGUUGCAAAUUCAAAAUAAUUUUGCAACCUUUUAUUAGAAAGGUUGUAUCGGAUCUUCUAAUGCAAUCUUUAUGUUCAACAAAGUUGCAUCAGAGUUAAAUGCAACUUAUUUGAAAAAGUUGCUUCUAAAAGGUUGAAUUAGCCCUAUUUUAUAGCAGUGAGUUUAAAAUUUAAGAGUAAAGUAAUAAAAUGAUGUUUCAUAAUCUUGUACCUAAUAAUAUAAUAGAGUUAAUUGCCAAAAUCGCCCCUGAGGUUUGAGCACAUUUGCUAUUUUCGUC